rnacentral:tRNA from 1 species
CAGAGGGUAGUUUAUUUAAAAUAUUAAUUUUGGAGAUUAAUGAAAAGAUUUAUCUUUCCUCUGA